AAUCCUGGGGGCCGGUCUUUCCCAUGCUAUUCUCGUGAUAGUAAGUCUCACGAGAUCUGAUGGGUUUACCAGGGGUUUCCGCUUUUGCUUCUCCCCUCAUUUGCUCUUGCUGCUGCCAAGUCAGAAGUGUCUUUCACCUUCUGCCAUGAUUCUGAGGCCUCCCAGCCAUGUGGAACUAGUGGCACCAACCCCAACCGAGAACCCCGGGGAGAAGAUGGAUGAUUUGGUCAGAAAGUGAACAAGCCUCUUAGAAACAUGCAGUGAUACCAGUUUGACCGAAUUUAAAGUUUUAUUCUAAAGUCUUUCUUGGGACACGUUGAUGACCAGGAAUAACCACAGCUAGUAGUUCUGCUGCUUGCCUGUGGAUGACUGCAGACAGCGCGGGGUCGCUGAGUCCAUAAGCAGAGAGAAGGGCAUACAGAGGGGAAAAGGAGAAGCUGGCUGCUGGAGGAGGCAAACUUGACUUCACCAUGUUUUCUGGGGUGGGACCUGACUUUGACCUCAUGUAUACAGAUGGGCUUGACUGAGCUAAUCUAUGCUUGUAUCUUACGGUAAUAUAUUUUUUCAACUGCCAUUGAAAGACAUGAGAAAUGAAACAUGAAAAUAUUUAAUAAUUCAGUAUUUCCAAGUGUCUAGACUACUGAACACAUUAUUCAAGAAAUUAUUUAGAAGAAAGGGAAAGGAAAUAGGCAAGGGGCUUUAUGAGUACUGACUAUGAAUCAGUUGUUUUCAGAGUUUUAUUUCUCACAGAGUAGAUACUAUUUUCCCUGUUUCACAGAUGACAAAUGUGAGGGUCAGAUAGAUUAGGAAGUGUGCCCAAAGUUUCACAGCUAGUCAAUGAGAGAAAGCAUUUUCCAAGCCAGGUUCACUUGGCUGCAAAGCACUUACUCUUUCUGAUACGCAGCAUGCUGCCUAGAUGUUUCAGCACAUUUGGAUUACAAAAUCAUUAGAAAUAAAAUUAUGUCUGUUAAA